GAUGAAGAACGUAGCGAAAUGCGAUAAGUAAUGUGAAUUGCAGAAUUCAGUGAAUCAUCGAAUCUUUGAACGCACCUUGCGCCCUUUGGCCAUUCCGAAGGGCAUGCCUGUUUGAGUAUCAUGAACACCUCAACUCUUCAUGGUUUUCCGUGAUGAGCUUGGACUUUGGGGGUCUUGCUGGCCUAUGGUCAGCUCCUCUAAAAUAAAUCAGCUUGCCAGUGUUUGGUGGGUAUCACAGGUGUGAUAACUAUCUACGCUUGUGGUUUUCCACCAGGUAACCUUCAGCAGUGGAGGUUCGCUGGAGCUCACAGAUGUGUCUCUCCUCAGUGAGGACAGCUCUUUGAGUGUUUGAUCUCAAAUCAGGUAGGACUACCCGCUGAACUUAAGCAUAUCAAUAAGCGGAGGA
rnacentral:misc_RNA from 1 species